ensembl:ncRNA C09D8.10 ncRNA
AGUUUUUGGCUGGGGCGCCUAUUUUAAAUUUAGUUAGGAUGAGUUGACCCCUCUCGAAGUGCGAAAUUUCAAUGAAUAACUGAACAAGUUAGGCAUUCCAGUUUUUCAACAAUUGAAUUUGGAUCAUUAUGUAUUUCUAAAACAACUUAA